UGCAGGCAGCCGACUGCUGGCUGGCGGAGCGCACAAGUUCUGUGCUCAACUUCGUCGCUCUUAAAGAGAACCCGGAUCCCUCUGGAGGCCCUCGGGAGCUGGCGGCAGGGCUGGGAGAGGCGUGGAGACAGAAAAAAGAAGAGAGAGAAAACCACCCACCAACCCAGGUACUGACUGAAUCCAGGACCUGACACAUGACAAGCAACAGCUAUUGGAUGAGCUACGUGUGUGCAUUUCUAAACCAAUGCCAUCCACACCCUCUCCUGGUGACUGACUCCUCAGCCUGCCUUCAGCUGCAGAGCAAAGCACUGUUACUUACCCACUGGAUUUCUUCAGGACUUUCCACCUUUGGUAGCAUCAUACUAGAGGGAAGAACUUGGGCCUGCAGAAUUGUCUCUAAGUCAGCUUCAGCCAGACCACUAGACACCGAG